rnacentral:rRNA from 1 species
AGUGAACGCUGGCGGUAGGCCUAACACAUGCAAGUCGAACGGCAGCACAGUAAGAGCUUGCUCUUACGGGUGGCGAGUGGCGGACGGGUGAGGAAUACAUCGGAAUCUACUUUUUCGUGGGGGAUAACGUAGGGAAACUUACGCUAAUACCGCAUACGACCUACGGGUGAAAGCAGGGGAUCUUCGGACCUUGCGCGAUUGAAUGAGCCGAUGUCGGAUUAGCUAGUUGGCGGGGUAAAGGCCCACCAAGGCGACGAUCCGUAGCUGGUCUGAGAGGAUGAUCAGCCACACUGGAACUGAGACACGGUCCAGACUCCUACGGGAGGCAGCAGUGGGGAAUAUUGGACAAUGGGGGCGAGCCUGAUCCAGCCAUACCGCGUGGGUGAAGAAGGCCUUCGGGUUGUAAAGCCCUUUUGUUGGGAAAGAAAAGCAGCAGGUUAAUACCCCGCUGUUCUGACGGUACCCAAAGAAUAAGCACCGGCUAACUUCGUG